AGACGCAGCCGAGUAUCUUGAGGAGAAGGACUUUAAAGCGUUCAGGGAUUUUAGCUGCCGCUGUGGAGUUCCGCCGCUGUUCUUCCGCUGGAGGGCGCAGUAGUUCCUUAAGAGGGAAUGGUGCGGCGAAUAGCUGUGAGUUCAAAGUCCUGACUACAGGUAUAUCUACUGUAGUAGAAAAGGAUCUUUUAUUUGCUCUGGGCUUUAAGAAAGGGGAGUGGCAGAAGGGCUGCCUUCCAAGUCGCACACACGAAUGGGUCACGGGAGCUUCUAUCCUGGCUUUGGCCAGAUCGGCCUCCAGAGCCGAGCUCGAGCCUCUUCUGCCCCCUGCUGCUUGGCUGUAGCCCCUGCUCUUCUGCAAGUAGGCGGCAACUGCCAUUUGCAUAAGAUCAAUAUCACUCUCUGUUAAUGGCCUUGUAAGCUCCUGAAGGCAGAGGCCCUGUUUCUUCAUCGGUGCACCUCCACCUUUUGUUCUAGCUUGGAGUUCAAUAAAUUUUGGUGGGACUGCACCUGCAUGUCUAUAUAAAGGAAAUACCCUUCUCUUUGGAGGGAUGCUGUCAAGGUCACUCUCAGAAAAGCAAGCGAGACAAGAGGGUGUUGAGCAGUCAACAAAGCAAAGACUGGAUGUGAGGAAAUUUAUUUCUCCUAAAGCAGAGGCUAUGGAAAACUUACUAGGAACAGUGAAGUCUGGCCAUCUUAUGCUCAUUCAGCCAUCCAAGGUUGUAAAUAAGACUUUGAGAAUAAUAGUGAUGGUUCACUUAUACGUAGUGAACUUUUCAAAGGGCGUUUGCAUCUGUUAUCUUGUUUGCUCCUUCAGUGACUGUGACAUUGGCAAGACAAUUAUUGCUGAUGAUGCAACAAGCCCCAAGAGGUUAAACCAAGUUACUCUUGAGGCAGGGGCAGGUUCGACAUUAACAUGGGUUUUCUGACAUAAAUUGAAAAUCUGAGCAGGUUAAAAAGAAUGAUAAUGCCUAGGUUAGGGUUCUCAUAGAAAGUAACUGAAAGCAAUCUUUCCCAUGGCAGAUUAUGGAGUCAUAAUUAUGUUUUUAAAAACCUUUUUCUGUUUUUUUUUUUUAAUAUUGAAGUAUAUAUUGGAAACAAGGCCAUAUCCAAUGCUACAGUCCAAACCAAACUUUUAAAGCCAAGACAGCGGAAUGAAACUUACUCUUAGCCUUCUUCCCUUAGCUGUUGAGCAGACUUAACAAACUCUGGUAAGAAAUCCGGCAUAGGCAGGAACCUUACAAAAAAAAAAAGGAGGCAGUUUAGUUCCUUUCUACAUUAUAGUUUCAGAGCUUUCCUAUGAAACUAUACCAAAUGGGGCCAUUAGAAAUUAAUGCUCUCUAACCUGUAUCCUCCGCAGUAAGUGGCUCACUGCAAUCUCUGCCUGCCGUAUUCAAGCGAUUCUCCUGCCUCAGCCUGCCUAGUAGCUGGGACUACAGGUGUGCACCACCAUGCCCGGCUAAUUUUUGUAUUUUUAGUAGAGACGGGGUUUUGCCUUUUUGGCCAGGCUGGUCUCGAACUCCUGACCUCAGGUGAUCCACCCACCUCGGGCUCUCAAAGUGCUGGGAUUACAGGCAUGAGCCACUGUGACUGGCCACAAAUACACGUUUUUUUUGUUUUUUUUGUUUUUUUUGUUUUUUUUUUGAGACAAAAUUUCAUUAUUGUUGCCCAGGCUGGAGUGCAAUGGCACAAUCUCGGCUCACCGCAACCUCCGCCUCCUGGAUUCAAGCGAUUCUCCUGCCUCAGCCUCCUGAGUAGCUGGGAUUACAGUCAUGCGCCACCACGCCCAGCUAAUUUUGUAGUUUUAGUAGAGAUGGGGUUUCUCCAUGUUGGUCAGGCUGGUCUCGAACUCCCAACCUUAGGUGAUCCGCCCGCCUCGGCCUCCCAGAGUGCUGGGAUUUCAAGCAUGAGCCACCACACCCAGCCGCAAAUAUGUGUUU
rnacentral:lncRNA from 1 species